GGAGAGAUGGCAGAGUGGUCGAUUGCAGCGGUCUUGAAAACCGCCGAGGGUCACACCUCCGGGGGUUCGAAUCCCUCUCUCUCCGCCA
rnacentral:tRNA from 1 species